rnacentral:rRNA from 1 species
GACAGAGGAUGCAAGCGUUAUCCGGCAUUAUUGGGCGUAAAGCGUCCGCAGGUGGCUAUUCAAGUCUGCGGUCAAAGACUGGGGCUUAACCCUGGAAAGGCCGUGGAAACUGAAGAGCUAGAGUGCAGUAGGGGUAGAGGGAAUUCCCGGUGUAGCGGUGAAAUGCGUAGAGCUCGGGAAGAACAUCGGUGGCGAAAGCGCUCUGCUGGACUGCAACUGACACUCAGGGACGAAAGCUAGGGGAGCGAAUGGG